AGUGAACGCUGGCGGUAGGCCUAACACAUGCAAGUCGAACGGCAGCACAGGAGAGCUUGCUAGCUGGGUGGCGAGUGGCGGACGGGUGAGGAAUACAUCGGCAUCUACUUUUUCGUGGGGGAUAACGUAGGGAUACUUACGCUAAUACUGCAUACGACCUACGGGUGAAAGCAGGGGACUAUCGGGCCUUGCGCGAUUGAAUGAGCCGAUGUCGGAGUAGCUAGGUGGCGGGGUAAAGGCCCACUCAGGCGCCGAUCCGUAGGUGGUCUGAGAGGAUGAUCAACCACACUGGAACUGAGCCACGUUCCAGACUCCUACGGGAGGCAGCAGUGGGGAAUAUUUGACAAUGGGCGCAAGCCUGAUCCAGCCAUACCGCGUGGGUGAAGAAGGCCUUCGGGUUGUAAAGCCCUUUUGUUGGGAAAGAAAUCCAGCUGGCUAAUACCCGGUUGGGAUGACGGUACCCAAAGAAUAAGCACCGGCUAACUUCGUGCCAGCCGCCGCAGUAA
rnacentral:rRNA from 1 species